rnacentral:rRNA from 1 species
UACGUAGGGUGCAAGCGUUGUCCGGAAUUAUUGGGCGUAAAGAGCUCGUAGGCGGUCUGUCGCGUCUGCUGUGAAAUCCCAGGGCUUAACCCUGGGCCUGCAGUGGGUACGGGCAGACUAGAGUGCGGUAGGGGAGAUCGGAAUUCCUGGUGUAGCGGUGAAAUGCGCAGAUAUCAGGAGGAACGCCGGUGGCGAAGGUGGAUCUCUGGGCCGUAACUGACGCUGAGGAGCGAAAGCAUGGGUAGCGAACAGG